rfam:Geodermatophilus obscurus DSM 43160, complete genome.
GGCUUUCUUCGCGGCCGAGCUCGACCGGCCAUCCCAGCGCUGAUCGACUACAUCGACCAGCACCGCCAGGAGUUCGGAGUCGAGCCGAUCUGCCGCGCCCUCACCGAGGCCGGCACCAAGAUCGCUCCG